CCUACGGGAGGCAGCAGUGAGGAAUCUUGGUCAAUGGGCGCGAGCCUGAACCAGCCAAGUAGCGUGAAGGCUGACUGCCCUACGGGUUGUCAACUUCUUUUAUAAAGGAAUAAAGUGAUUCACGUGUGCCUUUUUGUAUGUACUUUAUGAAUAAGGAUCGGCUAACUCCGUGCCAUCAGCCGCGGUAAUACGGAGGAUCCGAGCGUUAUCCGGAUUUCUUGGGGUUAAAGGGAGCGUAGAUGGGUUGUUAAGUCAGUUGUGAAAGUUUGCGGCUCAACCGUAAAAUUGCAAUUGAUACUGGCAGCCUUGAGUACAGUUGAGGUAGGCGGAAUUCGUGGUGUAGCGGUGAAAUGCUUAGAUAUCACGAAGAACUCCGAUUGCGAAGGCAGCUUACUAAACUGCCACUGACAUUGAUGCUCGAAAGUGUGGGUAUCAAACAGGAUUAGAUACCCGGGUAGUC
rnacentral:rRNA from 1 species